AUUGAACGCUGGCGGCAGGCCUAACACAUGCAAGUCGAGCGGAUGACGGGAGCUUGCUCCUUGAUUCAGCGGCGGACGGGUGAGUAAUGCCUAGGAAUCUGCCUGGUAGUGGGGGACAACGUUUCGAAAGGAACGCUAAUACCGCAUACGUCCUACGGGAGAAAGCAGGGGACCUUCGGGCCUUGCGCUAUCAGAUGAGCCUAGGUCGGAUUAGCUAGUUGGUGGGGUAAUGGCUCACCAAGGCGACGAUCCGUAACUGGUCUGAGAGGAUGAUCAGUCACACUGGAACUGAGACACGGUCCAGACUCCUACGGGAGGCAGCAGUGGGGAAUAUUGGACAAUGGGCGAAAGCCUGAUCCAGCCAUGCCGCGUGUGUGAAGAAGGUCUUCGGAUUGUAAAGCACUUUAAGUUGGGAGGAAGGGCAGUAAGUUAAUACCUUGCUGUUUUGACGUUACCGACAGAAUAAGCACCGGCUAACUCUGUGCCAGCCGCCGCAGUAAAAC
rnacentral:rRNA from 1 species